rnacentral:rRNA from 1 species
CCCUGGGGAAAGGGGCGCGGGUGAGUACGCGUGGGUAACCUGCCCUGUACACACGGAUAACAUACCGAAAGGUAUACUAAUACGGGAUAACAUACGAAAGUCGCAUGGCUUUUGUAUCAAAGCUCCGGCGGUACAGGAUGGACCCGCGUCUGAUUAGCUAGUUGGUAAGGUAAUGGCUUACCAAGGCAACGAUCAGUAGCCGACCUGAGAGGGUGAUCGGCCACACUGGAACUGAGACACGGUCCAGACUCCUACGGGAGGCAGCAGUGGGGAAUAUUGCACAAUGGGCGAAAGCCUGAUGCAGCAACGCCGCGUGAGCGAUGAAGGCCUUCGGGUCGUAAAGCUCUGUCCUCAAGGAAGAUAAUGACGGUACUUGAGGAGGAAGCCCCGGCUAACUACGUGCCAGCAGCCGCGGUAAUACGUAGGGGGCUAGCGUUAUCCGGAAUUACUGGGCGUAAAGGGUGCGUAGGUGGUUUUUUAAGUCAGAAGUGAAAGGCUACGGCUCAACCGUAGUAAGCUUUUGAAACUAGAGAACUUGAGUGCAGGAGAGGAGAGUAGAAUUCCUAGUGUAGCGGUGAAAUGCGUAGAUAUUAGGAGGAAUACCAGUAGCGAAGGCGGCUCUCUGGACUGUAACUGACACUGAGGCACGAAAGCGUGGGGAGCAAACAGGAUUAGAUACCCUGGUAGUCCACGCCGUAAACGAUGAGUACUAGGUGUCGGGGGUUACCCCCCUCGGUGCCGCAGCUAACGCAUUAAGUACUCCGCCUGGGAAGUACGCUCGCAAGAAUUGAAACUCA